GUGGAAAUUUUUGAAUGUUCUACAAUAAGCGAAUGGGUUCCAUUACUGAGAUCGUCGUUCGUGACACGGUCCUCAUUGGAAGAAGUGCAGGGUUGAGAGAAAUUCGGUGUAUUGAAGAAGGCCUCAAGAUGACCUCGGUAUCAGAUUUCGCUUUCGGCCUGCUUCACAGGGGAUCGCCCCAAUCGCGAGACUGUUAAUGCUGCUCAUCUGGUUUGUGGCGACGAGUUCAUUGCCCUGGGAUAAGUCUGUAGUCACGCUUCGACUGGAAUAAUCUUAUUAAAGCACGUCCCCCGCAGUGGUAUCGUUAAUGUUCCCGGCGGACUUGAUUCUAUCGCUACGACAUUGUGGCAGCUCUUAUCGACUCUUCAAG